AUGGCGGCCGGCGCGCUCAGGGCUCAGCUCAACGCCCUCGUCGACUCCAUGUUCACCACGGGUAUUGUGGACGAGGCUUUCCAACACCUGCGGUCGGUGGAGCAGGAGGGCUUCCUCGCCGAGGUCGUCAACCUCUUCAUCCACGACGCCGACAACAUCCUCAACGAAGUCGCCCACCUGCUGAACCAGCCCGUGGUGAACUUCAGCAGGGUGGGCGCACUGGUGCAUCAGCUAAAGGGGUGCAGCGGCAGUGUUGGUGCUAAGAAAGUGAAUCUCUCCUGCACCCACUUUCGUCAGUCUUAUGAGGCAGAAAGUAAAGAAGGGUGCCUCAUGGCAUUGGACCUUGUUAGGAAUGAGUUUUAUGAUGUGCGCAACAAACUACAAACAAUGAUUCAGCUGGAGCAGCAGAUCACGGCCAUGGGUCCUCAGUAG
rnacentral:rRNA from 1 species